GAUGAACGCUGGCGGCGUGCUUAACACAUGCAAGUCGAGCGAAGCACUUAUGAAAGAUUCUUCGGAUGAUUUCAUUUGUGACUGAGCGGCGGACGGGUGAGUAACGCGUGGGUAACCUGCCUCAUACAGGGGGAUAACAGUUGGAAACGACUGCUAAUACCGCAUAAGCGCACAGUACCGCAUGGUACCGUGUGAAAAACUCCGGUGGUAUGAGAUGGACCCGCGUCUGAUUAGCUAGUUGGUGGGGUAACGGCCUACCAAGGCGACGGUCAGUAGCCGACCUGAGAAGGUGAUCGACCACAUUGAGACUGAGACACGGCCCAAACUCCUACGGGAGGCAGCAGUGGGGAAUAUUGCACAAUGGGGGAAACCCUGAUGCAGCAACGCCGCGUGAGUGAAGAAGUAUUUCGGUAUGUAAAGCUCUAUCAGCAGGGAAGAAAAUGACGGUACCUGACUAAGAAGCCCCGGCUAACUACGUGCCAGCAGCCGCGGUAA
rnacentral:rRNA from 1 species